rnacentral:snRNA from 1 species
UUGCUUCAGCAGCACAUAUAUUAAAAUUGGAAUGAUACAGAGAAGAUGUACAAAUUAUGACACAUAAAUUUGUGUAGCGUUUGAUAUUUUU